UUUCCGUAGGUGAACCUGCGGAAGGAUCAUUACCGAGUACCGGGUCUUCUAGGCCCAUACUCCCACCCUUUGUGUAUUAAUACUCUGUUCGUUGCCUCGGCGGGGUCGAUCCCAUCUAGGGGGACCUGCCGGGGGGACACCACUAAACUCUUAUCAACGGUGAAGUCUGAGAAAAUUUUUAAACGAAUUAAAACUUUCAACAACGGAUCUCUUGGUUCUGGCAUCGAUGAAGAACGCAGC
rnacentral:misc_RNA from 1 species